GACGAACGCUGGCGGCGUGCUUAACACAUGCAAGUCGAACGGAAAGGCCCUGCUUUUGUGGGGUGCUCGAGGGGCGAACGGGUGAGUAACACGUGAGUAACCUGCCCUUGACUUUGGGAUAACUUCAGGAAACUGGGCUAAUACCAGUAAAGAAUCCCUGCUACCGGGGGGGGGUUGGGAAGUUUCGGCGGUUGGGGCUUGAAUGGGGGCUUAUCAGCUUGGUUGGUGGGCAGUGGCUUACCAAGGCAUUGAGGGGUUGCCGGCCUGGGAGGGGGGACGGCCACAAUGGGACUGCGAUACGGCCCAGACGCGUACGGGAGGCAGCAGUGGGGAAUAUUGCACAAUGGGAGGAAGCCUGAUGCAGCAACGCCGCGUGCGGGAUGACGGCCUUCGGGUUGUAAACCGCUUUCGCCUGUGACGAAGCGUGAGUGACGGUAAUGGGUAAAGAAGCACCGGCUAACUACGUG
rnacentral:rRNA from 1 species